GGGCUGCUCCCGCGGAUUCUCUUUCCCAUCGGGUUCGGCUGCGAGAGGGCCCAGAGAAUGGAGGGAGAGAGGCUGCGGUGCUUCCAGCUCUGGUCCCAGCUGUGUCGCGGCGGUCACCGGGCCGUGGGCAGCCCCAAGCCCUUUCUCAUAAGGACAUCUAGUGGCACCACGACGGACGGCACUCGGUCCCUCAGCCCCUCUCCGCCCCGGGUCCCCCCAGCCUCUGCCAUCGGCUCUACCACCCGCAUACUGCUUAACCCAGACAGGGGCAAGGCUGGAUCCUGCCAGCGGUGGCCCUGGGACACGGUUUGUCACCGAGAUGGGGACAUCUCCAGGAGAAGGGCUCAGCAAGUUAUUAUUCUGUGCAAGCACGAUGCCCUCCCAGGACAACACUACAGGACGGCAUUUGCUUGGAUAAAACAGUUUGGCAUCACUUGCUCUUGAGGAAAUUUGUGGUCUGUGCGUUGGGGAAUGACUCAGUGGAGCCAGGAGCUGUCUGAAAGCCCCCGCUGAGGAUUUGCUUUGAGCACAGCCUGCAGGGCUUGUGGGUGGGCAAACAAUGUGGCUCAGGAGCUCCUGUUCAAUAAAAUGAAUUUGUCUCCAAA